rnacentral:rRNA from 1 species
CUAAAGCUAAAUACCGGCCAGAGACCGAUAGCGCACAAGUAGAGUGAUCGAAAGAUGAAAAGCACUUUGGAAAGAGAGUUAAAAAGUACGUGAAAUUGUUGAAAGGGAAGCGCUUGCAACCAGACUUGCUCGCAGUUGCUCAACCCGCCUCCUGGUGGGUGUACUCUUCUGCGGUCAGGCCAGCAUCAGUUCGAGCGGUCGGAUAAAGGCGCCGGGAAUGUAGCUCCUCUCGGGGAGUGUUAUAGCCCGGCGUGGAAUGCGACCUGCUCGGACUGAGGAUCUCGCUUCGGCUAGGAUGCUGGCGUAAUGGUUGUAAGCGGCCCGUCUUGAAACACGGACCAAGGAGUCUAACAUCUAUGCGAGUGUUUGGGUGUCAAACCCAUGCGCGUAAUGAAAGUGAACGGAGGUGGGAACCCGCAAGGGCGCACCAUCGACCGAUCCUGAUGUCUUCGGAUGGAUUUGAGUAUGAGCAUAGCUGUUGGGACCCGAAAGAUGGUGAACUAUGCCUGAAUAGGGUGAAGUCAGAGGAAACUCUGAUGGAGGCUCGCAGCGGUUCUGACGUGCAAAUCGAUCGUCAAAUUUGGGUAUA